AGAGGAUGUCGCAUGUAUUAAGAAAACAGAUAGAGGAAGAGAGGGAGAGAAAAGGAGAGAGAGAGCAGCCUUUUUUAUUCAGUCUUUCUUCUUCUUGUGUCAAGGAUGCAGGUUGUUGGUGGUGGACCUUUUAUAUAUACUCUGAUACUCACUUCUCUAACAGUCUGGGGAGGACUUGCUUCCACUGCCUCUAACACACUUCCUUCACCAACCCUGAGCAUCAAACAGAGGUUAAAGGACUCUGUGGUCCUGGUCUGCCGAGCUCCUGAAGGUCAACAUGGUGUUGUGUUCAUGCUCUACAAGGUCACUGAGAAGGUGGACACUCAGGCUCCACAGUCUGAUGCAGAGGAGGUUCAGUUCACCGUCAGGAUGAAAGAUUUGGGUUCAGACCGGACUAACCUUUUCUGCUGUCUGUUCAAAAACCCGGAGGGGUUCUACAGCGCCUUCAGUCCAUAUUUGCAACUGGAGAACCCAAUAGAUGACCCCCCCACUCGUCCCAUCCCUCCAGUGCUGUCUGUGGAGCCCUCGCCAGGUGCAGUGAGACCUGGAGAGACACUGUCCUUCAGAUGCACCGUCCCAGCUCAUCUUCCUCUGUCCCAGUCCCAGUCUAACAAACCAAUGACCUUCCUUUUGCUGAGGAUGGAGGAGCCAACAGAAGUUAUGUCUGUUGUUCUUCACACAAGGGCAAGUCAGGAAGCAAACCUGAACCAAAACCUUGAAUCACAGCAAGGAGCCUUCACUGUGGGGCCAAUGAAAGGAGGGGAGCAGGGCAAGUACGCCUGCAUCUACCAGACCCACAAAAGAAGAGGAUUAGUUAAUUCAACUGUCAGCAAUGUGAUUCAAGUCAAUAUUGCAGACCUGCUGCCAAACCCCACACUUGUCCUCCAGCAGCAGACAGAUGUGUGGCAUUUGCAGUGCACUGGGUCUGCUGCCUACCCUGGCGCUGUGUUCUCCCUCUACCUGGCCGAUAAGGAACUUCCUGUUGCCACUCAACAUGCCAGAGUAUUUCAGCAUCAUGCCACCUUCCCCAUACCUGUCCAGGACACUCUAGUGGCUCUGUAUCAGUGCCAGUAUAGUGUGCUGCUGGGAAGCAAAUGGAGUGACUCUGAACGAAGCCUCUCUCUGGCUGUAACUAAAGGAAUUCCCUCUCCUUCAUCAUCAGGUGUGGACUGGCCUCUUGUGCUGGGCUCCAUCUCCGCUGUGGUAUUGUUCCUCAGCUCGUUGGCAGUUGUGAUUGUGAUGGCACACAGGAAAGGUACACACACCAAAUUUCAUGCUUCUCUGAUCAUUCUUCCUCUGUGA
rnacentral:lncRNA from 1 species